GUAGUUAACCAGUUCAAGUUCAAACCUUCAAAGUGGGCCACCAUUAGAGCUACUUACAAGUUGUCCACUGAGAGGAGGUACUUCAACACAGUGCUUAAGAAGCGAGCUCUAUUUGUAAUACUUACUAACGGCGACCAAAGGUAAGCCAUCGCCAAACAUUGUCACUCUUGAUAGUUUGACUUGAUUUUUGGCUAUACUAAUGGCGUAUUUCACUUGCAGAGUAACAUGGUAGAAAGAAGUAUGUCAAGCACGACAUGUUCUAUAUGAGCCACCUGGCCAAGGAGAAGAAAAAGAAACUAUUGAACUCCACUUCUUCCGUCUACAAGGAAGUUGGUUCUAGUAAAGAACA
rnacentral:lncRNA from 1 species